rnacentral:rRNA from 1 species
GACGAACUGUCCUAACGUUGUUCGGAAUCACUGGGCUUAAAGGGCGCGUAGGCGGCGCGGUAAGUCACUUGUGAAAUCUCUGAGCUUAACUCAGAACGGCCAAGUGAUACUGCAGUGCUAGAGUGCGGAAGGGGCAAUCGGAAUUCUUGGUGUAGCGGUGAAAUGCGUAGAUAUCAAGAGGAACACCUGAGGCGAAGACGGGUUGCUGGGCCGACACUGACGCUGAGGCGCGAAAGCCAGGGGAGCAAACGGG